rnacentral:rRNA from 1 species
GACGGAGGGCGCAAGCGUUGUUCGGAAUCACUGGGCAUAAAGAGCACGUAGGCUGUUCAGUCAGUCGGAUGUGAAAGCCCCCGGCCCAACCGGGGAACUGCAUUCGAUACUGCUGGACUUGAGGACAGGAGGGGUGAGUGGAACUCCAGGUGGAACGGUGAAAUGUGUAGAUAUCUGGAGGAACACCGGUGGCGAAGGCGACUCACUGGCCUGUAACUGACGCUGAGGUGCGAAAGCUAGGGUAGCGAAC